rnacentral:rRNA from 1 species
GAUGAACGCUGGCGGCGUGCCUAAUACAUGCAAGUCGAGCGAACAGACGAGGAGCUUGCUCCUCUGACGUUAGCGGCGUACGGGUGAGUAACACGUGGAUAACCUACCUAUAAUACUGGGAUAACUUCGGGAAACCGGAGCCAAUACCGGAUAAUAUAUUGAACCGCAUGGGUCAAUAGUGAAAGACGGCUUUUCUGUCACUUAUAGAUGGAUCCGCGCCGCAUUAGCUAGUUGGUAAGGUAACAGCCUACCAGUGGAACGAUGAGUAGCCGAGCUGAGAGGGUGAUCGGCCACACUAGAGCUGGGCCACGGUCCAGAGUACUACGGGAGGCAGCGGUAGCGAAUCUUACGCAAUAGGCGAAAGCCUGGAGGAGCGGCGCCGCGUGAAUGAUAAAAGUCCUCGGAUCGUAACAAUCUGUUAUGAGGGAAGAACAAAUGUGUAAGUAACUACGCACGUCUUGACGGUAACUAAUCAGCAAGCCACGGCUAACUACGUG